UACAGAGGUCUCAAGCGUUGUUCGGAUUCAUUGGGCGUAAAGGGUGCGUAGGCGGUUUGGUAAGUCGGAUGUGAAAUCUCCACGCUCAACGUGGAGGGGCCAUACGAGACUGCCAUGACUAGAGUCCGGUAGAGGAAUGUGGAAUUCCCGGUGUAGCGGUGAAAUGCGCAGAGAUCGGGAGGAACACCCGUAGCGAAGGCGGCAUUCUGGGCCGGGUACUGACGCUGAGGAGCGAAAGCGUGGGGAGCGAACAGG
rnacentral:rRNA from 1 species